AGAGUUUGAUCCUGGCUCAGAUUGAACGCUGGCGGCAUGCCUUACACAUGCAAGUCGAACGGCAGCACGGAGCUUGCUCUGGUGGCGAGUGGCGAACGGGUGAGUAAUAUAUCGGAACGUACCCUAGAGUGGGGGAUAACGUAGCGAAAGUUACGCUAAUACCGCAUACGAUCUAAGGAUGAAAGUGGGGGAUCGCAAGACCUCAUGCUCGUGGAGCGGCCGAUAUCUGAUUAGCUAGUUGGUAGGGUAAAAGCCUACCAAGGCAUCGAUCAGUAGCUGGUCUGAGAGGACGACCAGCCACACUGGAACUGAGACACGGUCCAGACUCCUACGGGAGGCAGCAGUGGGGAAUUUUGGACAAUGGGCGAAAGCCUGAUCCAGCAAUGCCGCGUGAGUGAAGAAGGCCUUCGGGUUGUAAAGCUCUUUUGUCAGGGAAGAAACGGUGAAAGCUAAUAUCUUUUGCUAAUGACGGUACCUGAAGAAUAAGCACCGGCUAACUACGUGCCAGCAGCCGCGGUAAUACGUAGGGUGCAAGCGUUAAUCGGAAUUACUGGGCGUAAAGCGUGCGCAGGCGGUUUUGUAAGUCUGAUGUGAAAUCCCCGGGCUC
rnacentral:rRNA from 1 species